rnacentral:rRNA from 1 species
GACGAACGCUGGCGGCGUGCUUAACACAUGCAAGUCGAACGGAAAGGCCCUGCAUUUGUGGGGUGCUCGAGUGGCGAACGGGUGAGUAACACGUGAGUAACCUGCCCUUGACUUUGGGAUAACUUCAGGAAACUGGGGCUAAUACCGGAUAGGAGCUCCUGCUGAAUGGUGGGGGUUGGAAAGUUUCGGCGGUUGGGGUUGGACUCGCGGCUUAUCAGCUUGUUGGUGGGGUAGUGGCUUACCAAGGCUUUGACGGGUAGCCGGCCUUAGAGGGUGACCGGCCACAUUGGGACUGAGAUACGGCCCAGACUCCUACGGGAGGCAGCAGUGGGGAAUAUUGCACAAUGGGCGGAAGCCUGAUGCAGCAACGCCGCGUGCGGGAUGACGGCCUUCGGGUUGUAAACCGCUUUCGCCUGUGACUAAGCGUGAGUGACGGUAAUGGGUAAAGAAGCACCGGCUAACUACGUG